rnacentral:rRNA from 1 species
UACAGAGGGGGCAAGCGUUGUUCGGAAUUACUGGGCGUAAAGGGCUCGUAGGCGGCCAACUAAGUCAGACGUGAAAUCCCAAGGCUUAACCUUGGAACUGCGUCGGAUACUGGAUGGCUUGAAUUCGGGAGAGGGAUGCAGAAUUCCAGGUGUAGCGGUGAAAUGCGUAGAUAUCUGGAGGAACACCGGUGGCGAAGGCGGCAUUCUGGACCAAUACUGACGCUGAGGAGCGAAAGCCAGGGGAGCAAACGGG